rnacentral:rRNA from 1 species
GGCGGACGGGUGAGUAACGCGUGGGAACGUACCCUUUUCUGCAGGAUAGCCACUGGAAACGGUGAGUAAUACUGCAUACGCCCUUCGGGGGAAAGAUUUAUCGGAGAAGGAUCGGCCCGCGUUAGAUUAGGUAGUUGGUGGGGUAAUGGCCUACCAAGCCUACGAUCUAUAGCUGGUUUGAGAGGAUGAUCAGCCACACUGGGACUGAGACACGGCCCAGACUCCUACGGGAGGCAGCAGUGGGGAAUCUUAGACAAUGGGGGCAACCCUGAUCUAGCCAUGCCGCGUGAGUGAUGAAGGCCUUAGGGUCGUAAAGCUCUUUCGCUGGGGAAGAUAAUGACGGUACCCAGUAAAGAAACCCCGGCUAACUCCGUGCCAGCAGCCGCGGUAAUACGGAGGGGGUUAGCGUUGUUCGGAAUUACUGGGCGUAAAGCGCGCGUAGGCGGAUCAGAAAGUUGGGGGUGAAAUCCCGGGGCUCAACCUCGGAACUGCCUCCAAAACUCCUGGUCUUGAGUUCGAGAGAGGUGAGUGGAACUCCGAGUGUAGAGGUGAAAUUCGUAGAUAUUCGGAAGAACACCAGUGGCGAAGGCGGCUCACUG